UUUCUCUAUAUGAAUUGGAUUUUGAAUAAAAAAGCAUAUUCACCUGAGGAAGUGUUAUUCACCGCGCUAAACGUCACGCGCUUUUUCAUGCAACGUUAUGGUAAAAUGUUUCAUGUACAAUUUGUUUUGAUAUAUGUUUGACAUUAAAUAUAUGAUUUUCUUCCCUCGGAAUAUGGAAUAAAACAAUUACUGUCUUUUGUUUCGGUAAAUAUGGGGUUUAAUUG
rnacentral:lncRNA from 1 species